GGAGUUAGCCGGUGCUUCUUCUGUGAGUGAUGUCCUUCCUGCCGGCUAUUAACCCGCAGGCCUUCUUCCUCACUGAAAGUGCUUUACAACCCGAAGGCCUUCUUCACACACGCGGCAUGGCUGGAUCAGGGUUGCCCCCAUUGUCCAAUAUUCCCCACUGCUGCCUCCCGUAGGAGUCUGGGCCGUGUCUCAGUCCCAGUGUGGCUGAUCAUCCUCUCAGACCAGCUACGGAUCGUCGCCUUGGUGAGCCGUUACCUCACCAACCAGCUAAUCCGACAUAGGCUCAUCCGAUAGCGCGAGGCCCGAAGGUCCCCCGCUUUCCCCCGUAGGGCGUAUGCGGUAUUAGCCUGGGUUUCCCCAGGUUAUCCCCCACUACCGGGCAGAUUCCUAUGCAUUACUCACCCGUCCGCCGCUCGCCACCAGGGAGCAAGCUCCCCGUGCUGCCGCUCGACUUGCAUGUGUAGCUCGCCGCCACGCGUCAUCUGAGCAUGAUCAACUACUGA
rnacentral:rRNA from 1 species